UAGUCUUACCGAAACGAAGGGUUCCAUAGACAGACGUAAAUCCAUGGUGCUUUAUAACAUGCUUCAUGAUCAAAUACAAACAAAACGGACAAGAGGAAUAAUAAUAAUAAUAAUGGUACACACCACACUACACCAAUAAAUGUAUGUAUAUAAUAGUGAUAUAUAUAUGUAUAUAUAUAUUUGAGAGCGUGUGUAUAUUUAUGUAUAUUUAUACAUACACACACAAGGGUAGAUAUGUGAGGAAGCGUGUAUUUAAUUGUGUAUGUUAUGUGUGUAUAAAUAUAUAUAUGUAUAUAUAUAUAUAUAUAUUUGAGAGCGUGUGUAUAUUUAUGUAUAUUUAUACAUACACACACAAGGGUAGAUAUGUGAGGAAGCGUGUAUUUAAUUGUGUAUGUUAUGUGUGUAUAGAUAUAGAUAGGUGUAUAUGCGUGUGUGUGAUGUUUUCUCUUGUUCUAUACUCACAUCAUAAACAUAUAUACACGCUGUUGUUGUUGUUGUUGUUAUUUGUGUAGUUGUACUACAUAAACAGUUGUUAUUGUUGUUGUAGGUCUGUGGUGGUUGUGGAGUCGGUGUUCCGUGUUGUUGUUGUUGCUGCUGCUGCUGCUGUUGAUGAUGGUGGUGGUGGUGUUGUGACGAUAGUGUUCAGGGUGCUGAUGGUGGUAGUGGUAGUGGUGGUGGUGGUGGUGAUGUUUACGUUAGUAGUGAUGCUUGUUGGUGUUGUAGUUGUUGUUGGUGGUGGUGGUGGUGAAGUCUGAAAGUGAUGGAGGUUACGAUUAAGUGAUGAAGGGUUAAUGUUGGAGGUGGUGGUGGUAUUGUGUUCUGUCGUGUGCAGGGUAAUCGUGUGUAUUCAGGUAGAGAAGAUGAUGUUACUGGUCAUGAUGAUGAUGAUGAUGGGGAUGAUGUUGUUGUUGUUAGUGGUGGCAGCGAUGGUGUACAAGAACAGGGUGGGGUUGACUAUUUUCCAAUCUCACAAACAGCCAACCCUCUUUUUAAUAACUAACUUGAAAACAAAAACAACGAAAGCCGUAUACCAAACGAAGAGAAAAGGCAAGGGUAAAAUAAAUACAUAGAUAGAUAGAUAGAUAGAUAGAUAGAUAGAUAGAUAGAUAGAUAGAUAGAUAGAUAGAUAGAUAGAUAGAUAGACAGAUAGAUAGAUUAACAGGAAGGCGAAUGGAUAGACACGGUGGUUGACAGACCAACAGAAAGGUGGUUGGUUAUUAAGGUAAGGUCCGUGUCGAUAGGACAGACGUGUUAAACAGUUUAAAUAGACGUAAAUAGGUAAAAUAGGUAAGAUGGCUUGGUGGUUCUAUUGCGGGUCGAUAUGAUAGGUAGAUAGAUAGAUAGGUAGAUAGGUAGAUAGGUAGAUAGAUAGAUAGAUAGAUGGAUGGAUGGAUGGUCCGAAUGGUCGACAGACUAACAGACAGACGGAUAAAUACACGGGUUAUUUAUAUAUAUACUUCUAUAUACACAAUAGUUAGUAGUCGAAUAUGAACGAGUGUUUAUAGGGUACACAUACCUCCAUACACAACACACACACACACACAUAUAUAUAUAUACUAUAUAUAUAUUAUAUACACACGAUAUAAUAGGCGUAUGUUGCUAUUUGUUUAUUUCUGUGUAUGCAUGUGUAUGUGUGUGUGUAUUUGAUUAAGUAUGCGUUAAUUGUUUAGCAUAGUAUUAAUAGUAUGUAUGUAUGUAUAUAUUUAUAUAUAGUUUAUAUGGUAGGGUUUUGGCGUGUGUGUGUAUGUGUGUGGUUAGUUAUAUAGUAUAGUACAUGGUGUGUGUGUGGGUAGUGUUGCGGUGUGGUUAGUUAUAUAGUAUAGUACAUGGUGUGUGUGUGUGGUAGUGUUGCGGUGUGGUUAGUUAUAUAGUAUAGUACAUGGUGUGUGUGUGGUAGUGUUGCGGUAUGGUAGGGUUUUGGCGUGUGUGUGUUUGUGUGGUUAGUUAUAUAGUAUAGUACAUGGUGUGUGUGUGGUAGUGUUGCGGUAUGGUAGGGUUUUGGCGUGUGUGUGUUUGUGUGGUUAGUUAUAUAGUAUAGUACAUGGUGUGUGUGUGUGGUUGUAGUGUUGCGGUGUGGUUGUAGUGUGUGUAAAGAAAAGAAACACACAGGGGGAAAAAAACAACAAUAUGUAGUAGUAAUAAUAAUGAUGAUGAUAAUAAUAAUAAUAAUAUAAUAAUGAUAAUAAAAAAAAAACUAACGUUCGUAUGACUUCCCUGUCACACAAGGCAUGCCGCUUUUUCAGCAAGCGCCAGCAUCGCCGUGUAAGCCGGCACUGUCAGACUUUCUCCCUCUCUCCCUCUAACUCACACCAACUCCCUUUUACUUAAUCAUUUACAUAUACCGUCUCCUACUCCCUCUAUGUGUCCAUAUCUCUCUAUCUCACCUUCUUUUCUCACUUCCUCCCCUUCCUUAUUCACCCAGUCCUUCUUAUUCUCUCCCUCUCUCUCUCUCUCUCUCUCUGUGUCUCUGUGUCUCUCUUUCACUCUUUCACAUUACCCCCCUCUCACUGACUUGUUCGCAAAUACUUUUCUCCUUCUCUCACACUACGGGACUGUCUUGGUCUAUCUUUCUCUCAACUCCUCCCACUUCCUCGUUCAUCCCUCUCACGAAAUCUAUCUUUCUGUCUAGACCCCUCUUACCCAUACUCUCUCAUUCUUUCCCUCCCUCCAUGUAUAAGUGUCUUUCACACAUCCUCCUACUUCUUCACUUUCUACCUUCUCCUACUAUCUCCAUAUUUUAUCUCUAACUAUUACCAUAUCUCUCCCUCUUACACGCUCCUUCUCGUUCUUUCACUCCCUCUGUAUGCAUAUCUAUCUCUAUUACCUCCUCCACCUACCACUUUGCUCGCUCCUUCCCCAGUAAAUUCUUUCUAUCCCUCUUUUUUCUCUCUCUCCUCACGUCCCUCUUACUUACACACACACACACACACAUGUAUACACUCUCACACGCUUUCAAUUCUUUCCCUCCCUUUAUAAACCUAUACCUUUCAUUAUCCCUUAACUACACUCUCUCUCUCUCCUCCUUCAUCCUACUUCCUCACUCAUCUCUUUCAAUAGUCCCUGUUUCCUUGCUUCAUUCGUUCGCUAAUUCGCUCGUUCGUUCGUUCAGUAAGAUCUCACACAAAACUCAUACAAAUUCUUUUUCCCCCCAUCGGUCCAUUAAUCUCCAGUGUGUGCAUGUUGUGAGGGUGAGUUAGUUUGUGAAUAUGUCUAACUCUCUCUCUCUCUCUUUCCCACUCAUGCGAUUUAUUUUUCCCUCUGUCUCUCUCUCUAUCUCUAUCUACACGUCUCACUUCGCUGAUCCGUGUGUGUAUGUGUGUGUAUGAGUAUAUGUGUAUAUAUAUGUGUGUAUUUCUUUUAUCGUCUGUCCUCUUUGUGAGAGCGCGGGAAAAUUUAUGUACGUGCAUAUAUAUAUACUACAUAUAUAUAUAUAUAUAUAUAUAUAUAUAUAUAUAUAUAUAUAUAUAUAUAUAUAUAUAAGAGAGAGAGAAUGAGAGAGAUAGAUAGAUAGGUAGGUAGGUAGGUAGAUAGAUAGAUAGAUAGAUAGAUAGAUAGAUAGAUAGAUAGAUA
rnacentral:lncRNA from 1 species